GUGCCAGCAGCCGCGGUAAUUCCAGCUCCAAUAGCGUAUAUUAAAGUUGUUGUGGUUAAAAAGCUCGUAGUUGAACCUUGGGCCUGGCUGGCCGGUCCGCCUCACCGCGUGCACUGGUCCGGCCGGGCCUUUCCCUCUGUGGAACCCCAUACCCUUCACUGGGCGUGGCGGGGAAACAGGACAUUUACUUUGAAAAAAUUAGAGUGCUCCAGGCAGGCCUAUGCUCGAAUACAUUAGCAUGGAAUAAUAAAAUAGGACGCGCGGUUCUAUUUUGUUGGUUUAUAGGACCGCCGUAAUGAUUAAUAGGGACAGUCGGGGGCAUCAGUAUCCAACUGUCAGAGGUGAAAUUCUUGGAUCAGUUGAAGACUAACUACUGCGAAAGCAUUUGCCAAGGAUGUUUUCAUUAAUCAGGAACGAAAGUUAGGGGAUCGAAGACGAUCAGAUACCGUCGUAGUCUUAACCAUAAACUAUGCCGACUAGGGAUCGGACGGUGUUAUUCAUGACCCGUUCGGCACCUUACGAGAAAUCAAAGUGCUUGGGCUCCAGGGGGAGUAUGGUCGCAAGGCUGAAACUUAAAGAAAUUGACGGAAGGGCACCACCAGGGGUGGAGCCUGCGGCUUAAUUUGACUCAACACGGGGAAACUCACCAGGUCCAGACACAAUAAGGAUUGACAGACUGAGAGCUCUUUCUUGAUUUUGUGGUGGUGUGCAUGGCCGUUCUUAGUUGGUGGGGUGACUUGUCUGCUUAAUUGCGAUAACGAACGAGACCUUAACCUGCUAAAUAG
rnacentral:rRNA from 1 species